CCGACUGAGUUUGGCCAAUAGGGAAAAAGGAACAAGCAACAGCAGGUGGUGCCAGGAUUCUCUUUGGAGAAUGCUUAAAUUCUGCCCUCGGAGUCACCUUGGUCACUUUCUCCUGAAUCUCCUAGAGAAGUUCUAGGAAGAUCAUUUCCUUCAUCUUCCUGGAAUUAUCUAACUGCUCAGCGUUCUUGUGCUCAGACUUCAGUCUCAAUUUCACCAUGUGGUCCAUCAUCUUCGUUCUCCUGUUGGGGUUCCUCUGCCCUGGACACAGCGUCCCUCUGAGACCUCACAACCCUGACGCAGAUGGAACGCCAAACGCUCCUUCUGUCUACAUCCUUCCGUCUCCAGCAGAACAACUGAAUUUGCAAAAAUAUGUCAUUCUCAUAUGCUUCGUUCAAAAUUUUUAUCCCAGCAAUUUAUCUGUGGAAUGGCUCCAGAAUGAGCAGCCGGUCAGUGAAUCAGGGAACCACACUGGCCAACCCAAUUUACAGUCCAACACACUCAAUUUUGCGUCUAGCAGUUUGAGCAUCAGAAAGCAGGAGUGGGAUUCUGGAGAUUCAUUCACAUGCCAGGUGACCAACAGAGCCGUGCCAUCCAAAGUCAUUCAGAAGACCAUAAAGAAGAACAUGGGGAAAUGAUCUAUAAUGUCUCCGUAAUCGUCUCUGACGGCAGAAGUACUUGCUUCCCAUUUCUUUUGAGAAACCUUCGUGCGUUCGGUUCCCACCAGCCUCUCUUUUCUCCUACUUCGUGAUGGAUAAUUCAUGAAAGCGUUCGUUGGCCGCAUCUUUCUGAAGACAAGAAAUAUUGUGUCAUCAAGUAUUUUUCUCAAAACAAGUAAAAAAAUAAUAAUAAUCUGGGGGUAAGGCAGUGGUGAAAUGGAAAAUUUGUUACUACAAGUUCUGUGGACGUGGCUUGGUGUGUGUGUGUGUGUGUGUGUGUGUGUGUGUGUGUGUGUGUGUGUGUGUGUGUAAUGUGACUGGGUGGGUGUGGUCAACUUUUUUUUUUACUUUUACAAGCAUUUUUUCUACAACCUCUU